UGAUGGGAAGGGUUCAAGGAUUGAGAUAAGGGCAGGGAGAUCACAAUUACCGUCACGGGCAAAAAAAAUUCAGCAUAGGGAGAUUAAUGUAAUUUAUUGACUGUAACUGGCAGACUAGAACAGUGAGGAACUAAAAUCAAACUAAAAACAUCUUCCCCCCUAUCCACCUAUCCUCUACAUCCUCCCCCUGAGCAGCGUAGGGGAAUGGGGAAUGGGGGCAGUCCAUAACAUUUCAUCUCCGCCACUCCUUCACGGUCACUCUCUUCCCCUACUCCAACGUGGGGUCCCUCCCAUGGGAUGUAGUCCUUCCCAAACUGAUCCUGCAUGGACUUGCCAGAGGCAGCAGCUCUUCAAGAACUGCUCCAAAUAUGGGUCUGUACCAUGGAGUCCAUCCAUUAGUAGCAAACUGCUCCAACAUGGGUUGCCCGUGGGCGGCAGCGCCUGCCAGGUCACCUGCUCCUACGCGGGCUCCUCUCCACAGGCUACAGGUCCAGCCUGGAGCCUGCUCCUGUGGGGGCUCUCCAUGGGCCUCAGCCUCCUUCGGGUCAGAUCCACCUGCUCCACCGUGGGCUCCUCCAUGGGCUGCAGAAUGGAAAUCUACUCCACCGUGGUACACCAUGGGCUACAGGGGGACAACCUGCUUCACCAUGGUCCUCUCCACAGGCCGCAGGGGAACUUCAGCUCUGGCGCCUGGAGCACCUCCUCCCCCUCCUCCUGCACUGACCUUGGUGUCUGCAGGGCUGUUUCUCACUCCUCUCUCUCCCAGCUGCUGUUGCGCAGCAGUUUUUUUCCCUUUCUUAAAUCUGCUCUGACGGAGGCGCAACCAACGUUGCUUAUUGGCUCAGCUCUUGCCAGCGACAGGUUCCUUUUGGAGCCGGCUGAAACUGGCCCUUAUCUAACAUGGGGCAGCUUCUGGAUUCUUCUCACAGAGGCCACCCCUGCAGCCCCCCUGCUACCAAGCCCAUGCCACACAAAACCAUUACAACGGUAUGGAAGUUGGCCUUUGGCCAGUUUGGGUCAGCUGUUGUGGCUGUGCCCCUCCCACCCUCCUGUGCACCCCCAGCCUCUUUGCUGGCAGGGCAGCAUGAGAAGCAGAAAAGUCCUUGGCUUAGUGUAAGCACUGCUCUGCAACAACUAAAACAUCAGUGUGUUAUCAGCAUUAUUCUCACCCUAAAUCCAAAACACAGCACCAUACCAGUUACUAGUAAGAAAA
rnacentral:lncRNA from 1 species